rnacentral:rRNA from 1 species
CCUACGGGAGGCAGCAGUGGGGAAUAUUGCACAAUGGGCGCAAGCCUGAUGCAGCGACGCCGCGUGAGGGAUGACGGCCUUCGGGUUGUAAACCUCUUUCAGUAGGGAAGAAGCGAAAGUGACGGUACCUGCAGAAGAAGCGCCGGCUAACUACGUGCCAGCAGCCGCGGUAAUACGUAGGGCGCAAGCGUUAUCCGGAAUUAUUGGGCGUAAAGAGCUCGUAGGCGGUUUGUCGCGUCUGCCGUGAAAGUCCGGGGCUCAACUCCGGAUCUGCGGUGGGUACGGGCAGACUAGAGUGAUGUAGGGGAGACUGGAAUUCCUGGUGUAGCGGUGAAAUGCGCAGAUAUCAGGAGGAACACCGAUGGCGAAGGCAGGUCUCUGGGCAUUAACUGACGCUGAGGAGCGAAAGCAUGGGGAGCGAACAGGAUUAGAUACCCUGGUAGUCCAUGCCGUAAACGUUGGGCACUAGGUGUGGGGGACAUUCCACGUUUUCCGCGCCGUAGCUAACGCAUUAAGUGCCCCGCCUGGGGNGACGGCGCGAGCGUAACUAACUAGAGUGACGGCGNGAGACGUGCCGACGACGACGACGAGGGAGGAGG